rnacentral:lncRNA from 1 species
UGAUAUGCUUUUAAAUAUAAAGGGUUCUAUCCAAAUUCUGAAAUGUCUUUUGACUUUCUAUUUGGGAAUGAGCAUGCCUGUGCAUUCAAAAGGGAGAGUGAGAAUAAAGGGCCUCAUUUGCAUUGGAGCAAAAUGGUGCCAGCACUGUCAGGGGCAGGGCCAGGACUCUUGUUCAGUCACAUGGGAACUGGAAAAU